UAGAGCUACAGUCUCUUCCAGGUUUCAGGGGUGGCUUGUUUGACCCUGGGGUAAAAAUCCAAGUUGCUUAAAUCAUAAAUUCUCACAUUCUUGGCCCAGGAGUGAGUGUAGGAUUGUAGAAGAGAUUUGGAGUUAGUCAUUGGUUUCAAUAAUAAAUGACUAGCUGUGCACCUUGGACAAGUUACUUGAUUUGCCUGAGCCUUGAUUUCUUCAUCUGGAAACCACUGCCUGGUAGCUGCCAUGUGGUGAGGAUACUCAAUGGGAGACCCAUGUGGAAAGGAACUGAGGCCCCAGUCAACAGCCAAGACCAACUUGCCAGUCAUGUGAGUUAGCCAACUUGAAAAUGCAUCAAACUGCAGCCUGAAGAGAGACUCUGAGCCACAACUGCCCAGCUGAGCCACUUCCAAAUUCCUGACACACAGACACUGUUAGAGAUAAUAAAUUGUUAUUGUUGUUUCAAGUCACUAAGUUUUAGAGGGGAUUUCUUAUGCAGCAAUAGAUUAUGUAAGAUCCAUUUCUCUAGCGUCAACUCUCAUUAACCAAGCACAGAGCCCAAUAUAUAAACCAGAAUAGCAACUUACUAAUAUGCUUUGAGAUACACAACUCUUG
rnacentral:lncRNA from 1 species